rnacentral:rRNA from 1 species
GACGUAGGGCGCGAGCGUUGUCCGGAUUUAUUGGGCGUAAAGAGCUCGUAGGCGGCUCGUUGCGUCGGCUGUGAAAACCCGCAGCUCAACUGUGGGCUUGCAGCCGAUACGGGCGGGCUGGGAUUCGGUAGGGGAGACUGGAAUUCCUGGUGUAGCGGUGAAAUGCGCAGAUAUCGGGAGGAACACCAGUGGCGAAGGCGGCUUCCUGGCGCGAUUCUGACGCUGAGGUGCGAAAGCGUGGGGAGCGAUCCGG